rnacentral:rRNA from 1 species
GACGAACGCUGGCGGCGUGCUUCAUACAUGCAAGUCGAACGAGAAGCUGGCUUCGGUCAGUGGAAAGUGGCGGACGGGUGAGUAAUAUGUAGGAAAUCUGCCUUUAGGAGGGGGACAACAGAGGGAAACUUCUGCUAAUACCCCAUAUGAGCGUAGCUGAAAUGCUAUUUUUGAAAACUCCGGUGCCUAAAGAUGAGCCUGAAUCUGAUUAGCUAGUUGGUAGUGUAAUGGACUACCAAGGCGACGAUCAGUAGCUGGUUUGAGAGAAUGAUCAGCCACAAUGGGACUGAGACACGGCCCAGAAUCCUACGGGAGGGAGCAGUAGGGGAUUUUGCGCAAUGGGCGAAAGCCUGACGCAGCAACGAUGCGAGAACGAUUAAGCCAUUGGGGGUGUAAAGUGCUGUCAGUGGGGACGAAACUUGACGGUACCCAAAGAGGAAGCACCGGCUAACUCCGUG